rnacentral:rRNA from 1 species
UACGGAGGGGGUUAGCGUUGUUCGGAAUUACUGGGCGUAAAGCGCGCGUAGGCGGAUCAGAAAGUUGGGGGUGAAAUCCCGGGGCUCAACCCCGGAAUUGCCUUCAAAACUCCUGGUCUUGAGUUCGAGAGAGGUGAGUGGAAUUCCGAGUGUAGAGGUGAAAUUCGUAGAUAUUCGGAGGAACACCAGUGGCGAAGGCGGCUCACUGGCUCGAUACUGACGCUGAGGUGCGAAAGCGUGGGGAGCAGACAGU